AUAUAUAUAUAUGUAUGUAUGUAUGUAUAUAUGAAAGAACAGACUUAGAGGUAAUAAAAUAAACUAAAAUACCUCAGACUUUGUAACAAAAUUUUAUUAUGAUUUAAGAUAUGAGACACACCGUAUAAUAAAUGGUUCACAAACUUGCCCCUAGAAAUACAUUUUGAGAAUAUUUCUGGUUCAUUUCUUUUUAUUUUAAAUUUUGAGAGAGAGAGAGCAUGAACAGGGAGAGAGGCAGAGGGAGGGAGGGAGGGAGGGAGGGAGAGAGAGAGAGAGAGAAAACAUCUUAAGCAGUGUCCAUGCUCAGCAUGGAGCUUAUGUGGGGCUCGAUCCCAUGACCCUGGAUUGUGACCUGAGCCAAAAUCAAAAAUCAGGCGCUCAACUGACUGAGCCAUCCAGGCACCCUGUGGCUCAUUUUUAAUUAUGUGUGGAUGAGUACUCAUGUAGAUAUGUUAACGUUACUGUUUUAACUGCCCUAAAUAUUUAUGGAUUAUAUAGUAAAUUAAGAAAAAUGAUAUCACUUUCAGUUGUUAGUGCCUUUUGAACUAGGUAUUAGUGUACUCACGCAGUUUAUUUUUAAUUCGCUUGAUUCUAUUUUUAAUUCACCUUAUUUUACUCAGAACUCUUUUCCUGCAAAUUAAAAUAGAACUCCCCUUGCACAAUGAUAUUACUCAGAUACCCUGAACAUGAUGGUUCGCUUCACAUCUGAUUCUCAUUCUUUGGUCAUAGAUGCAGAACACGGUUUCCAAUGAAGACGCAUUUGCCUAUCAAGACUUCCAAAGAAAAAGUGCCGUACCCAUAAAGAUGGAUAGCUUCUGCUCAAGAUUGUAACCUGCCUCACGUCAGUGGCCUCUUUCCUGCUGUACCCGGUAGAACCACUUUGGCUUAUAGGUUGUAAUUAUUUAUGCAACAAAUCAGUAAUCAGAAAUGGAAAUUUAUUUAAAUGAUCCUCAAAGAAAUAAAUUUGGGAUUGAACUGUC